rnacentral:rRNA from 1 species
GUCUUUUUGAUUAUAAUAUAAAGUCUGACCUGCCCAAUGAAAAUUUAAAUGGCCGCGGUAUUUUGACCGUGCAAAGGUAGCAUAAUAAUUAGUUUUUUAAUUGAAAGCUGGAAUGAAUGGUUGGACGAGAAAAUAACUGUCUCAUAUUAAUUUAAUUAGAAUUUUAUUUUUAAGUAAAAAAGCUUAAAUUUUUUUAAAAGACGAGAAGACCCUAUAGAGCUUUAUAUAUUUAUAAUUAAAUUUAAUGUAGAAUUUUAGUAUUUUUAUUUUUAAAUGUAUUUUAUUGGGGUGAUAAAAAAAUUAAUAAAACUUUUUUUUUUAUAAUAACAUUGAUUUAUGAAUAAUUGAUCCAUUUUUUAUGAUUAAAAGAUUAAGUUACCUUAGGGAUAACAGCGUAAUUUUUUUUUAGAGUUCUUAUCGAAAAAAGAGAUUGCGACCUCGAUGUUGGAUUAAAAUUAAUGUUUGGUGUAGAGGCUAGAUAAUUAGGUCUGUUCGACCUUUAAAAUUUUACAUGAUCUGAGUUUAAACCGGUGUAAGCCAGGUUGGUUUCUAUCUUUAAAUAAUUAAAAUAUUUUAGUACGAAAGGACCAAAUAUUUAUAAAAUUUAUUAAAUUUUGAAUAAUAUUAG